rfam:Trichobilharzia regenti genome assembly, scaffold: TRE_scaffold0042773
AUCUAGAUGAAGAGUCUCAAAUAGGACGAAACGCGCGUCCUGGAU